rnacentral:rRNA from 1 species
AACGAACGUUAGCGGCGCGCCUAACACAUGCAAGUCGAGCGAGAAAGGGCUUCGGCCCCGGUAAAGCGGCGCACGGGUGAGUAACACGUGGAUAACCUACCCCUUGGUGGUGGAUAACCUUCCGAAAGGAGGGCUAAUACAGCGUAAGACCACGACUUCGAAAGAGGUUGAGGUAAAAGUGGGCCUCUGUACACAAGCUCACGCCAGGGGGAUGGGUCCGCGGCCCAUCAGCUAGUUGGUAGGGUAACGGCCUACCAAGGCGAAGACGGGUAGCUGGUCUGAGAGGAUGAUCAGCCACACUGGAACUGAGACACGGUCCAGACUCCUACGGGAGGCAGCAGUGGGGAAUCUUGCGCAAUGGGACGAAAGUCUGACGCAGCGACGCCGCGUGAGUGAUGAAGGCCUUGGGUUCGUAAGACGUCUGUCCUC